rnacentral:rRNA from 1 species
CAUAAUAUUGUAAUGAUUUCCGUAGGUGGAACCUGCGGAAGGAUCAUUA